CGGCGUGCUUAACACAUGCAAGUCGAACGCGAAAGGGACUUCGGUCCUGAGUAAAGUGGCGCACGGGUGAGUAACGCGUAGAUAACCUGUCUUCAUGUCUGGAAUAAUACGCCAAAGGGGUACUAAUACCGGAUAUUCUUGCUUUUCAUAAGUUAUGCAAGCAAAGGUGGCCUCUGCAUAUGCUACUGCAUGAAGAGGGGUCUGCGUACCAUUAGCUAGUAGGUGGGGUAAUGGCCUACCUAGGCGACGAUGGUUAGCGGGUCUGAGAGGAUGAUCCGCCACACUGGCACUGGAACACGGGCCAGACUCCUACGGGAGGCAGCAGUGAGGAAUAUUGCGCAAUGGGGGAAACCCUGACGCAGCGACGCCGCGUGAGUGAAGGAAGGCCUUCGGGUCGUAAAGCUCUGUCAAGAGGAAAGAAGUGUACAAUGGCUAAUACCUGUUGUAUUUGACGGUACCUCUAAAGGAAGCACCGGCUAACUCCGUGCCAGCAGCCGC
rnacentral:rRNA from 1 species